CUGGCGGCGUGCCUAAUACAUGCAAGUCGAACGAACUCUGGUAUUGAUUGGUGCUUGCAUCAUGAUUUACAUUUGAGUGAGUGGCGAACUGGUGAGUAACACGUGGGAAACCUGCCCAGAAGCGGGGGAUAACACCUGGAAACAGAUGCUAAUACCGCAUAACAACUUGGACCGCAUGGUCCGAGCUUGAAAGAUGGCUUCGGCUAUCACUUUUGGAUGGUCCCGCGGCGUAUUAGCUAGAUGGUGGGGUAACGGCUCACCAUGGCAAUGAUACGUAGCCGACCUGAGAGGGUAAUCGGCCACAUUGGGACUGAGACACGGCCCAAACUCCUACGGGAGGCAGCAGUAGGGAAUCUUCCACAAUGGACGAAAGUCUGAUGGAGCAACGCCGCGUGAGUGAAGAAGGGUUUCGGCUCGUAAAACUCUGUUGUUAAAGAAGAACAUAUCUGAGAGUAACUGUUCAGGUAUUGACGGUAUUUAACCAGAAAGCCACGGCUAACUACGUGCCAGCAGCCGCGGUAAUACGUAGGUGGCAAGCGUUGUCCGGAUUUAUUGGGCGUAAAGCGAGCGCAGGCGGUUUUUUAAGUCNGAUGUGAAAGCCUUCGGCUCAACCGAAGAAGUGCAUCGGAAACUGGGAAACUUGAGUGCAGAAGAGGACAGUGGAACUCCAUGUGUAGCGGUGAAAUGCGUAGAUAUAUGGAAGAACACCAGUGGCGAAGGCGGCUGUCUGGUCUGUAACUGACGCUGAGGCUCGAAAGUAUGGGUAGCAAACAGGAUUAGAUACCCUGGUAGUCCAUACCGUAAACGAUGAAUGCUAAGUGUUGGAGGGUUUCCGCCCUUCAGUGCUGCAGCUAACGCAUUAAGCAUUCCGCCUGGGGAGUACGGCCGCAAGGCUGAAACUCAAAGGAAUUGACGGGGGCCCGCACAAGCGGUGGAGCAUGUGGUUUAAUUCGAAGCUACGCGAAGAACCUUACCAGGUCUUNGACAUACUAUGCAAAUCUAAGAGAUUAGACGUUCCCUUCGGGGACAUGGAUACAGGUGGUGCAUGGUUGUCGUCAGCUCGUGUCGUGAGAUGUUGGGUUAAGUCCCGCAACGAGCGCAACCCUUAUUAUCAGUUGCCAGCAUUAAGUUGGGCACUCUGGUGAGACUGCCGGUGACAAACCGGAGGAAGGUGGGGAUGACGUNAAAUCAUCAUGCCCCUUAUGACCUGGGCUACACACGUGCUACAAUGGAUGGUACAACGAGUUGCGAACUCGCGAGAGUAAGCUAAUCUCUUAAAGCCAUUCUCAGUUCGGAUUGUAGGCUGCAACUCGCCUACAUGAAGUCGGAAUCGCUAGUAAUCGCGGAUCAGCAUGCCGCGGUGAAUACGUUCCCGGGCCUUGUACACACCGCCCGUCACACCAUGAGAGUUUGUAACACCCAAAGUCGGUGGGGUAACCUUUUAGGAACCAGCCGCCUAAGGUGGGAC
rnacentral:rRNA from 1 species